rnacentral:lncRNA from 1 species
CAAUGGCGUCGGUAAAGACGUGAUGUUGACUGCUGUAAACAGACGUGUAUUAAGAUUUACGAUUUAAACAGGUUGGUAAUAUGUUUAGGUGUCUGUUUUGUGUGAAUAUUUUGAGAGCCUUACACAUGAUACACACUCAUCUGCAAAGUCCCAAACCUCGCACAGUUUAUCACGAACCCUUGUACAUUGCUCCUGAGGUUGGGUUUGACUAUUCUGAGGCUAUAUGACUUGCAUAAGGAGAUUGUGGUGUGGGUUCUUGCUUGAAGACUCAGGGUAAAUAAAAAAUCUUUUCAUACAAUUAAAGUGAUGUCAGUAAGUACUUUGCAAUUAAUUUUUGUCUUCCCUCAAGGUCUCCUUAAGAACGAAAAAAGACACAGAAAUGUAUAGAGCUUAUCUUGGGCAUCUGUACUCUCAGUUCAAUGCAAAUAUAGC